rnacentral:rRNA from 1 species
GACGAACGCUGGCGGCGUGCUUAACACAUGCAAGUCGAACGCUGAAGCUUGGUGCUUGCACUGGGUGGAUGAGUGGCGAACGGGUGAGUAAUACGUGAGUAACCUGCCCUUGACUCUGGGAUAAGCCUGGGAAGCUGGGUCUAAUACUGGAUACGACAUGUCACCGCAUGGUGGUGUGUGGAAAGGGUUUUACUGGUUUUGGAUGGGCUCACGGCCUAUCAGCUUGUUGGUGGGGUAAUGGCUCACCAAGGCGACGACGGGUAGCCGGCCUGAGAGGGUGACCGGCCACACUGGGACUGAGACACGGCCCAGACUCCUACGGGAGGCAGCAGUGGGGAAUAUUGCACAAUGGGCGGAAGCCUGAUGCAGCGACGCCGCGUGAGGGAUGACGGCCUUCGGGUUGUAAACCUCUUUCAGCACGGAAGAAGCGAAAGUGACGGUACGUGCAGAAGAAGCGCCGGCUAACUACGUG